GUGACGGGCCCGCACAAGCAGCGGAGCGUGUGGUUAAUUCGAUGUUACACGAAGAACCUUACAGGGUUUGACAUGCAAGUGGUAGGAAGCCGAAAGGUGACCGACCCUUCGGGGAGCUUGCACAGGUGCUGCAUGGCUGUCGUCAGCUCGUGUCGUGAGAUGUUCGGUUAAGUCCGCUAACGAGCGCAACCCUCGCUGUGUGUUAUAUGUGUCACACGGGACUGCCGGUCUUAAGCCGGAGGAAGGUGGGGAUGAUGUCAAGUCAGCAUGGCCUUUAUAUCCUGGGCUACACACACGCUACAAUGGCCAACACAAUAGGUUGCUAAGCCGCGAGGUGGCGCCAAUCCAUAAAGUUGGUCUCAGUUCAGAUUGUAGGCUGCAACCCGCCUGCAUGAAGAUGGAGUUGCUAGUAACCGCAGGUCAGCUAUACUGCGGUGAAUACGUUCCCGGGGCUU
rnacentral:rRNA from 1 species